GAAUUAAACUUUGAACCCCAACUGCAUAAUUUUGAGGUCUCAUACCAUCUGGGUUGCUGUCCUACUAAAUUAAUAAGUUGUUGACAGGAUUGUGAAUUAGUUAAAAAGCAUGUUACUCUUUGGGGUCACCAAAGAUUUAGCUUAACAACUACUACUAAGUUUUGUGUAAAAGGAUUACUGAGUGAGAAAGUUAUUACUGGACAAGUGAUUAUCAAGUUCUUAUAAGGUUUCAAAUCAUGAUCUGCACCAAGAAAAUAGAAGAAGAUGCUUUGUACAUAGCAAAACAACAUUUAGCGUGAGGAUUGUAUAAUAUAAUUGAUAGUACAUUUUGUAUUUCAUGUUUACUUUUCUUUAUCUUGAAAUAAAUGCUCAAAUGAAAUCUUUCCUUGCAGCAACACUGUUGUGUAACUAUGAUUAUUCAUUCUUUAUAUACAUGUCUAUAUCUACAUAAAUAAUGCCAAUAUAUGACAUACUUCAGUUUCCUGUGGUGAUGAAAGCAUUGUACAAAAUUCUCCUCUAUGGGUUGCACUUGCUGUUGUGCAAUCAUAUAAUCCUCGACGUAAAAUUCCAAGAAGUAAUAUCUCUAUGGUUGAUCUGGAACAAUGUUUGUCGAAGGCAUCCUUCGCAGCUGCUCAAAAUUCUGCUUCCAUUCAUAUGCCACGGAUUGGCUACCAAGAUGGAUCACAACGCUCAGAGUGGUACACAGUGGAACGCCUCCUACGGAAAUAUGCAUCAAUACAUGGCAUCGCUAUAUAUGUGUACUAUUAUCGGCAUCCAUCCAGAGAGCAAUACGAGCUGAUAUUUUCAAGUUCUGCUAUGUAAAUUAUUUAUGAUGUGUUUUAUAUAGAAGAAGCUUUGCGCCAUGAACAACUACCUAUAUUAAGAUUUAUGUUGAUGGACAUGGAACUGAUAAAAAUAGAUGCUGAAACUCUCUAUGUGAGGUGUUAGAAUUUGUUCUGUUUAGUACUUGCAACUUUCACAUUUGCAGAGCUGUUGGCAACUGUAUUGUUUCUUGGUAUGUGUGCAUUACCUUGGUGGAUCAGCAGUAAUGUUAGCAACUCCUUGACAACAUUUUCUUGAAGGUGUCUGUAAUAUUGGUACUUGAUGAUUCAUGUUUCAACUCAUACAAUACAAUUUUGGCUGACUCGAAAAUGAGGCAUCAAGGUGUUUGUUUUGCUACUAUUAUGUAUUAGCUAUGGUUCUGCCGGUGCUGUCAAUUCCUAUGUGAUGUAAGGUUUCAAAUGUCAUACUUAGGCUAUUCAUGUGUCUGAUUGUGUUCAUUGUAGUUCUUAUAUUGUGAGAGAACUUACAGUUUUACCAUGCCUUGGUAAAAUUUGGAACCAACAGAUGAAGUUGAACCCUACAAGCAAAGUUGGAAAAACACAUCCUCUCUAUUUUGGAACUGCAACAGUUUCUCUUUGUGGAUGUAGCAUGAAUGGAAAAACCAUUUGUUCUGUCAUCAGUCUAUUUGGAGGACCACCUGAAAGCCAUCAGCUUAAGUGCCUAACUUGUGGUGCCAGUUUGGACCUAAUGAUGUGGAACCAAUCUCUACACAUGAUCCUGGUUUUUGUUGUUUGUGUUGCAAAUGGAAACCAAGUCCAAUGUGAUAGAUGCAGGUAGGUUAUGUUGCUGCAAAACCAUGCCGGUGCCUUGAAGCUUAGUUUUGGUAGCAUAUCUUGGGAUUUCAUGGGCAGAGGUUGUGCCACUCCACAGCAAGGUAUUGAAUUCUGCUUGUUCUAUUCUGGGGUGUGGAGAAAUCUGCACGAGGGCCAGUAUUUGCCUUGCACUAGGUUGUGCUAAAUAAAUCUGAAGCCAAUUUGUAGUAACUUGAAAGAUAUUUUCAGGUUGCUCACUGUGGAUUCUUCUGGUCUGCAGCAUUGCAUUUGUUUCAUGACUGAAAUUAUGGCACAGGUUCAAUUAUUUUACAUGCUUUUUUACUGUUGCAUCAAUACAGUAGCAUUUCUUGUGUACUCGAUGGAUUAUCUCUUUCAGCUGAUAGGAUGAUGAUCCUUUCUGGUUACACCGCUAUGGUGGUUCAAGUGAUCUUGAAUAAGAUAAGUAAAAGCACAGCAUUGGAAAAUGAUGCAUUCUUUGGUAGCAUGUUCUGCAUGUGAAUUGUUUAGAAUUGAUGUGAAACAGAAGAAUUCUUUUGUGCUAUUAUAUAUAGCUGUUCAUGGUUAAUAUGUUGGAAUUAAGAUGUCACCUAACACUACUUUUUUGGCGCAUUGUUUGUAUGGUCUUGUAGGGUGAUGUCGCAAGACAAUUUUUUAGAGUACGAGUAAUGGUGAUCGCCUUAUCACAGUCGCAAUAUGGCAGCAGUCAAGUGGGUGCUGACAACGUUGUCCCGAUGAAAAUAUGAAGGAACACCAGCAUGCAUGUCUUCAUGCUUGGAGAAUAAAAGAUGAGUGCAGCUGUGGCCAUCACAACAGGAGGGAUCUUUUGGGACGAAGCUGUGACACAAAGGCCAU